GGCAGAAGGAAGGCAGUUAGGCUGUUAGGAAGGCAGUUAGGCUGCAGUGAAUUCUACAAAGAGGCUAUGGGAAAGAAACCUGGAAAGUACCCUUGGCUGUGUACAUUUGAGUAAAGAGAGCACUAUAAAAUCAAAAACCAAUGAAAUGGUUUCCAGAACACAGAACUAUUAAGCUUAAGAAAAGGACAGAAGGAACUGAAGAGAGAGGAACUGUUUUGGAGCAUCACACUUCCACCUCAGAAGAAAUAAGGAAGGAAGGAGGAGGGUGUUCCCACGGCUCUUCAACCAGGCCGGCUCUUCAGCCUACAUCCCCAUCUCAUCAAGUAAAAGGGAUUUUUCAACUGGACCAACCAGAUGGUUUAACAGUGCACUCCCACACCAUUCAACUACGCAAGGGAGAUACACUUAACAUAUGCAGUCGUAUAACACCUACUAACAUUUUCAAACAUUAAACCUUUAAAAAAGAGUUCUAAAGAAAUAGAAGCUUGAAGUAUCAUCUCUCAAGUAUAUAGACACUACUUCAUGGUGUGGUAAUAUAUGCAUAUAGAAGCUAGUAAACACCUCCAGGAGAUGCAAAAGGAAUUAGAACUGCCACAAGGUGCAAGCAAAACCUUGAGCUUCUUUAAAAUAUGAAGACUUCGAAGUUAUUUAUCCAAACCAACCUGAUCAUUUCUUAAGAGUGAAUAUACCUUGGAAGACGUGUCCUGCCUUUAGUAGCGUCACAAUGGAUUACAUCCUCUAUAAAGCAGUCUGGGAUAUUCUGCCCAAUCAGAGGCUAACAUCUGCCACAAGACAAAUAUGGUGCCUGCCCCCAUGGAGCUCAUAUUCGAAUGGAGAAAAUGUCAACAAGUAUCCCACGGAGUGAACACUUCAAAAGGAGAAGCACAGGUGAGAAAAUCGAAUUUGGACACCGUUGAGGAGACUAUUGCAGUCAUCCAAGCUCAAGAUGGUGGAGCUUCAUCCUUGAGAAUAACCAAUGGGGAUAGAUUUAAGAGACACUUAGAGUCUGCAGCCAACAGGGCUGAAUGAGCAGAGAGUUAUGAUUCAGAAGAUCAUCUAAAAUUGAACAGCUGCCACUACUGGCAAUAAGUCUACUGCCAUUUGGUAGAUAACCUUCUUAUCACACAGAAAAAUAUCAGUACAGACAAAUAGACCGCAAAGAAAAUGAGACCAUCAGCAAAGAAGAUAAAGAAGUUUGUACAAAGCAACUUUUUAUAAAUGGAUGGCUGUCAGGCAAAAAUAAAUUUCCUGUGGACAAGACCAAGAGCAAGGCAAGAGGAAAAUAAACAUGUUUAAACUAUUGGAGAGUCCAUAAUUUAAAUAUAAA
rnacentral:lncRNA from 1 species